CUUUGAUCGUCGCUGACAAUGUUCCGAACGCUUUUCCGUAAUAAAUCAAGAACCUAAUCCAUGAGUGGGGGACCUCCAGCAUACAUGGUGAGAACCAGACACUUCCCAGGGGCACAGGAAAUGAUGCGCCAGAUCAGAUCAUGACAGAAGUGGGAAAAGUUCUCUGUGCGGAAGAACUACACUGAAAAGAAAAGUACAAACAAGAAAACUAUCAGUUCUCUGUUCUGAGAGAGACUGCGUGGGAAUGACCAGUGUCCAGAGGUCAGCGAAAGCAGAGUCACUCUGACCUGGCCCUGCCCCAUGUACAGCCAAGACCCGAAUCAGUCCCUUGGAAGGGUCCUC
rnacentral:lncRNA from 1 species